GAUGAAGAACGUAGCGAAAUGCGAUAAGUAAUGUGAAUUGCAGAAUUCAGUGAAUCAUCGAAUCUUUGAACGCACAUUGCGCCCCCUGGUAUUCCGGGGGGCAUGCCUGUUCGAGCGUCAUUUCACCACUCAAGCCUCGCUUGGUAUUGGGCAUCGCGGUCCGCCGCGCGCCUCAAAUCGACCGGCUGGGUCUUCUGUCCCCUAAGCGUUGUGGAAACUAUUCGCUAAAGGGUGUUCGGGAGGCUACGCCGUAAAACAACCCCAUUUCUAAGGUUGACCUCGGAUCAGGUAGGGAUACCCGCUGAACUUAAGCAUAUCAAUAAGCGGAGGA
rnacentral:misc_RNA from 1 species